rnacentral:lncRNA from 1 species
UUUUUUUUUUUUUUUUUUCACACUGGCAGCUUAUGGGAGUUCCCUGGCCGGUGAUCGAACCUGAAACACAGUGGUGACAAUGUGGAUCCUUAACCCACUGAGCCACCAGGGAACUCCUCUAAUGUGUUUUCAUAAUGAGGUGUUUUUUUUGUUUGUUUGUUUGUUUUUGCUUUUUAGGGCCUCACCUGCGACAUAUGGAAGUCCCCAGGCUAGGGGUCAAAUCAGAGCUACAGCUGCUGGCCUAUACCACAGCCACAGCAACACGGGAUCCAAGCUGCAUCUGCGACCUUCACCACCACUCACAGCAACACCAGGUCCUUAACCCACUGAGCAAGGCCAGGGAUCGAACCUGCAUCCUCAUGGAUCCUAGUCAGAUUUGUUUCCGCUGCACCACAAUGAGAACUCCAUAAAUUUCUUUAAAGUGCUUAUUUAUCCAUCCAUUUAUUCUGUAACGAUUAUUCCUUUACAAUUAUUACACUUAUUCCUUUACAACUGCCUAUUCUGAUAUGUUCCUAUCAUCUGCCAGACGUGGUUCUCAGCCUUGGUGAUAAGAUAAAGAGGACCCAUCCGAGGCAUUCACCGUGUGGUUGCGAAGACAUUCGGUCGGAUAGUUAUGAAUGCACAUUGACACAAAACACUUUAGGAGCCCUGAGGCUUAUCUUCAUGGCCAUUUAGGGCAUCGACGAAGCCUUCGAGGAGGAGCUGAGUGGACAUAAGUAACGAAUCAAACCAGGACCUUAGGAGAGGAACAGAUAGAAAUCUGGUGAGAGAAAUCUUAAGCAAGUUCACUGGACCUCUCCGGGCCUUAGUUUCUUGGUCUGCAAAUUGGGAGUAAUAACAACAUCUGCCUUUGGAGAUGAUUGUGAAAGUGAGAUGAUUGUGAAGAGUGAGAUUGUGUGUGUGGCACAGAGGAGGCACCGUAGCAUGUGCCAGAAAAAGGUAUGACAAGAGUGACAUUGUAGUACCGUCUGCCAUACGAAUCGGACACAUCUGUAUCGGGCACCUCACAUGCAGCACAUCUUCGUGCUGACUGGGUCCUGGGCAGGAGACCGGCAAUUGGUCCAGAGGCGCCAUGAGGGUGAAAUGAGGUUGGCAGGAAGGAACGUUUGGGACAGGGAGAGUCGCCAUCCGGACAAAUUGGGUCCAUUCUCUAGACGUGGUUUGGACAAAUUGAACCACGUGAAGGAUAUGAGCAGCAGGAAUGGGUUCCUCUUCUCUUUUCUGGACCCUAGUGCACCUUUUCUUUUGUGCUGUCACCUGGCUCCACGCCUCCCGCAGUGGUGGCCCUGUCUUUCCCUGCCCCCGGGGCCUCUUCUGGUUCUGCCCAUCUAUACAAGUCCAGGCUUUCCUUGAACCACUCUCUGGACUGGCAAUGCCAAUGGAAAUCCCUAGGUUGGGAAACACAUCUGCCUUAUGGACCAGGGUGUGCCUGAUGCUGGCCAGAGGAAACAAGCCCAGUGAAUCUCCACGGAGGAAAAGGAGCUUAUUCAGGGUGGAUUUCCACUCACCCUAAAGGAGCGAAAUGGAGUCAAACUUUGAGUUGCUUCUGGGAAGCAAUUGCCUGGCCAGAGACUACAUUUCCCAGCCUCCCUUGCACGGAUGUGGGACUAUGGACUAGCUCUUAUCAGUGAAACAAGAGCAGAGCUGAAGAGGUGCCAGCUCUUUUCCCAUCUGCCUCCUGGGAACACAGAGGUAGCACAGGAAAGAAUGUGUGGGCUCGGGGCCGGGCUCCACACAGGGCAGACACACUGAUGUCCGGGAGAGCCUGGAGGGGUGCUUCCACUCAGCUGGCUGAACUCCGACAACAGGAACCAGAUCUUCAAUUCUGCCUCAUCUACAAUCCUGUGCUGACGCUUAGAAAGUGCCCAGUGUGCGCUCAGUGAAAGAAUAAAACCAUCAGAAAGGAUCCGGAGAACGUCAGCCUAGUGAAACCCUGGGUAAUUCAUGGUAGAGGGAUGCUGUAUUCCAGGGACCAUGACACCUCACCUUCCGGCUCCUGCAUCCUUCCUGCAGUAUCUAAGGGGACAGUGAGUUUAGAUGCCACUGAUACAAUCCCAACAUCACAGAAUGGAAGGAGUUUGGGUUCCAGAGUAACCAGCCUCGCAGGAGAGCUGCCAGACUUGGCUUGGACAGCGACACGAGGGAGAAACAAACGUAUAUGUGAGAUCGCUGAGGUCAUGUUACCGCGACUGAAGUAAGAUAAGGUGGUGUCCGGAGUAUGGGGUCUGGAGCUUGACUACCUGGAUUCAAAUCCCUGCUCAGUCAUCUCUUGGCUGUGUGACUUAAGAUGAGAAGAUACAUCUGCUUCUGCUUCUAAGAGUUGGUGAUUCUCAUCCUUCUCUCUGCACUUGCCCUUGCCGUGUCCUUGGUCAGCACAGAGGAAGGACAACAGCCCAUCUCCCUCACAUCGGAAGUGGCUCCACAAGUUGGCCUUCACUGCCAUCAACCCUAACAGGUGUGGUGCUCUAUCUCCACAGUCCUCCAGAGCGCCCUCAAGUCCCUCAGGGUGUCUUUACUCCAAGAAGGGGUUCUAGACUAGACAAGCAGAGGUGUUGCAGAAAGGAAGAUACUGCAAAGGAUUCAGGCAGCAAAGGGUGUGCUCCCCACACUGGGGAAGACAUCUGGGCAGAAGGGCCUGGGCUGGACCUCACAUCCAUCCCUCUUCCCUUGGGGUCCUUGACCACCCUUGAGAAUGGCACCUACAUGCUCUAAUUCUCCAUAAAAUCCAGAGGCAAAAUGUCCCUGCUGUAAAGACCUUGAACCCUUUUUGGGAAGGUUUUAUGAACUUAAUAUCGUGGGUUGCUCUAACCCCAGCCUUUGUCCUGACAGCAUCUGCUCAGGGAGUUUGAGAUUCAGCCAGUCUGUAAAGAGCUUCAGAUCCAGGGCUUUGAGGUGGGGAGAAGUGGUCACCUUGGAGAAAGCAGGAAACUGUGGCCAGCUGGGGCAUUCUUUGCUAUAGAUUCCAAGAGACAAACUUGCUGAUCCCAGGUCAAGUCUGCCCCUGCUUCCCUGCAUCUAGAACCAUCUCUGGCUCCACCUCCCAUUAACACCCCAGAACAGAUUCCCUACCCACCUCCUCAAGAAGAACAUUGCCUCCGGGGAUUUUCUAAGAGUUUUUAGGAUAAGCAGCAGUUAGAAGCUAACAAUAAGUAAAAUUUCCAGAAAUCAAGAGAAACUUGCAAUGUUCCUUGACACUUUAAAUGAUGCACUUGAAACAAGAGGCUUGCAUUAGGAUCUAAAUUAGAGUUCUUGAGUGGCUUUUUGUAUUUUUUCUUUCACGUUAACCUGACUACAACUUUAUCUUCUCCAUUCACUUCCAAGAAGUCCUUAUAUAAUAAAGAGUUGAAGGCUGAAGCCCUUGCUUCCUCAAUAGGGGGCAGGCUCACCAGCUCCAUCUUGUCAGUUACCUCUUAAUGGUUGGUAGGAUGAGGGAAGCUUUCUCAAAAGACAGUUAAAAUAGUGCUUUAAGAAAUCCUCCGCCAAUAAAAAGUUGCUUCCAGAGUUAUAAAGUCAGUUUUCUUAACCUCUCAAUCUCAACUCAACUCAAAUUACAAAGUUUACAUGCCUUUGGGGAUGGCUGUAUUAAGUAAAUAGAGAGGAAUGGUCACAUUCAGUGUAAGCUAAAACACCCAAGGCUGGCAGUAGGAAAAGGAGCUACCUACCUAUCAGGUCUUUCAUAAAGCCAGUCCCUUAAAUAGAAAGAAUAAAGUUCUCUCAAGACUUACCCUAUGGACUGCCUUUCACAGCUGGUUCAUAUUUAUAAGCCAAUUUGUCUGGAAGUAAAUCUCUUUAACACACCCAACUGACUCCAAGAGGUGUGUCCCAUGGGAACCAAUCUUAAAUAACCGUCUCAAGAAAAGUUUUAGCAGCAAUAUUGUCAGUCCUGGAAUUUCCACCUUUGGGGGGGAAAAAAUCAACAAUAGAAUGCUUGGAAAUACAGAAUACACAGAGUUUAGCAAACUGCCAAAUUAAAUUCACACACACACACACAAAUCUGCUAAUACCUAGUUAAAGAGUUGGCAUGGGAAGAAACAGACUUCUCAUUCAAGCCUGAAGCUCGGUAAUGGGUCAUUUGACCUGAAAUAACUUGGGCGGAAGUUGGCCUUAUUGUCUUCCACAAUCUCUUCCCACGCAGUCAAAAAAGGGGAUGCAAUCUUAAGAUUUUUUCUUCCUCAUUCUCUCCCGCCCUUUCUCCUCUCCCUCCCUUUUAUCUUCUCUCUCUCCUUCCUUCCUUCUUUUCUUUCUCUUUCA